rnacentral:rRNA from 1 species
AGUUUGAUCAGUGGCUACGAGGACGAACGCUGGCGGCGUGCCUAACACAUGCAAGUCGAACGGGGUAGUUCCUUCGGGGGACUACUUAGUGGCGAACGGGUGAGUAACGCGUGAGAAACCUGCCUUUCAGUGGGGGACAACAGUUGGAAACGACUGCUAAUACCGCAUAAUGUUAUUUGGGGGCAUCCUUGAAUAACCAAAGCUUUAUGUGCUGAAAGAUGGUCUCGCGUCUGAUUAGCUAGUUGGCGAGGUAACGGCUCACCAAGGCGACGAUCAGUAGCCGGUCUGAGAGGUUGAACGGCCACAUUGGGACUGAGACACGGCCCAGACUCCUACGGGAGGCAGCAGUGGGGGAUAUUGCGCAAUGGGGGAAACCCUGACGCAGCAACGCCGCGUGAAGGAAGACGGUUUUCGGAUUGUAAACUUCUUUUAUAAGGGACGAAAUUGACGGUACCUUAUGAAUAAGCUCCGGCUAACUACGUG